AUCAUUUUUAUAAUUUUAACUAAAAAUACCACUGCUUCCCAAUUUUUUUGCAAUUAUCACCUAUAAAUACAUACUUAUUGCCCAUUUAUUGACCAUAUAACACUUUUGGUCAGUUUUUGGUUUUUCUCUCAGCUCUCUCUCAACUCUAUCUCACAGUUCUCUCUUCCUCUCUCUCUCUCUCUCUCUCUCUCUCUCUAUGACCACGCCUCUUCUCACGAAGAAGAAGAUCAAGAACGACCUACAAAACCCACAGCUUUGCCUUCAAAACCCAGUUCUUCCUGUUCCUCUCUGUUUUCUUCUCUACCCAAAUCCAAUUAAAAGGGUGACAUUUUGAGCUAUUUCCCUAUAAUGGAAUCGUGCAAGGCCCCCAAAUCCACCCCCUUUUGACUUAAAACAACAAAUCCACAAACCCUAACCAGUGAGAGAGGGAGCUAUUUCAAUGGCGAUACAGCCCUCGAGCUCGAGCAAAAGACAUGCUUUAGGUGAAACGACUCAAAGCACUUCUUUGGGCAUUUGGGGACCUGUAAAGACAUGUAUUCAGAGCCAAGCUUAUCUUUGUGCAAUUCAGGUUAUGUUCUAUCUGAAGGCUUGAAAGAUUGAAUAGAAUAUGGGAAGCAAAAUUACAUGCAAUCCAAAUUUCCAUAGUCGUGGUAUGUUUGAGGGACGCAUACAAGAAGGUUUGUCUAGUGGUGGUAUGUCUUAAGUCUUGUAUAAUUGAAUUCAGUAUUUUUUGUAGGGUGAUAUAUACUUGCCUUGAUUCAUUGAUGGAUUAUGGAAGUUAGACAUGAUAGCAAAAUGGCCUACCAUUUAGUAGUUUUUUAUAAGGCCUAACAUUUAUGUCGAAAAUUUUCUAUGGUUCAUUGGAUGGAUUAUGGAAGUUAGACGUUAUAGCAAAAGGGUUUAUCAGUUUCCAUCUAAUGUUUUUGUUAAUUUAGUACAAGGGUGGUUGGAUGCACAUCUCAGAGGUAGCAAAUCCAGUUUUAGCUCUUACAUUAAUGGCAGCACUGCGAAUUUCCAAGAAGGAUUUAGCAUGUCAGUAGAUAAAAGGGAUUUUACCUUUACAAAGGAGCUGCAUGAGAAACUCGCACUAAAUUUCUUUCCCAUCCGAUCUUGUCUGCUGAACAGAUUGGGGAAUGUUUAUGUAUCCAAUUAAAUAAUUUGGACAAGAUUUUAAUGAUGUUUUCAUGUAAUGUGUGUGUAUGUAUGUUUUUAAGACAAAGGAAAUUUAAUACAUAUGCAGAUAAUUUAAUGCCUGGUAUUGUUUUGGAACCAUAAUCGUUGUCAAUCUCAUUGUUUCUUUAAAAGAUUGCUGUGAAAUUGUUACUUCAUUUUCUUCUUUCAUUUGUUUUAAGAUAUUUUUGUUUGGAGAAAAGGAACUCUGUUUUUGUAAUCUAAAAGACUAGGUAUCUAUGUCCCACAUCUUGGGACUAAUUGAAUGUGCUUUUUGAUAUUGAAAGGAAGCUAGCAUCUUUGGUUGAAAAAAUGAAGGUGUUCCUGCUGAAGUAAUUUCUACUUGAUUUCAAUUUGCCUAUAAAACUUGUUGACUGGUGCUCAACAAGUUGGGUUUUUGUAGCUUGAAUUGGAGUAUAAUUUAGGUUCGCUUUUUGCAUGUGAGUGUUUUAAUGGAUUGGAUGUUCUACCUGUAUGUUUGUCAAAUCUCAAUCAUGUUUUUGAGAUGAGUUGUGCAGUAGUGUUGGUUGAAAUUAAUAUGUUAUUUAUUCAUUGAAAGCAUAUUGUUUCCCGACGGUGAGUAUUUGAUCAAAUUAUAAUUUGUUGCAAUUUUGUCUUGACAAUUUAUGUUUCUUUCUCUUUUUCUUUUCAAGUUGUACAAGGAGAAGAAAAGCCGCACAACUCGUUUCCCUGUGAAGAACAAAUUUGAGGUUAACAGUUACACAAUGUGUUUUAGCUGGGUUUGAUGGGUUUGAUUUUGUUUGUGAGUUCUGUAGCAUGGUAAGGAAGAUUUUUAUCUAUACAAUAGAGGAAAUCAAGAGGUUGUCACCCAAGAUAAAACUUACACUCAAUGAAGAGGUCAAACCAGGAAAGCCAGAUUCUGAAGCAGCAAUCAACAUCGAAGACCAGUCAUCCAUUGUGGGACCUGCAUACUGAUCUGCCCCGUUGUCUCUAGCUAUAUAAUGAAAAAUUGGAAAAAAAAUUGGAAAAUGGAACUUGAUUGUCACAUGAGAUUCUGUCUGCUAGGAUGAUGCUAUCUAUGACAAAGUACACAUGCUGGAAGAAUUGGUUGAGUUUCCCUGCAUGCUGAGAUGGAGGGCGGCAGUGGCCUGUAAUGCACAUGCAAUCUGGAGAGUCACUACUCGUGACAGGGUUUGGGUGUUAUGGUUAUUGGUUGUCUAGUUUUGCCAAGAGGAUCUCAUAGUGCUUGCUUGUUUGGGCGAAUUGAGUCAGUGGUAGUCCUACUGGAGCAGCUCAAGUCCUCUA